ACUCCUACGGGAGGCAGCAGUGGGGAAUAUUGGACAAUGGGCGAAAGCCUGAUCCAGCCAUGCCGCGUGUGUGAAGAAGGCCUUUUGGUUGUAAAGCACUUUAAAGCGAGGAGGAGGCUACUUGGAUUAAUACUCUAGGAUAGUGGACGUUACUCGCAGAAUAAGCACCGGCUAACUCUGUGCCAGCAGCCGCGGUAAUACAGAGGGGUGCGAGCGUUAAUCGGAUUUACUGGGGCGUAAAGCGUGCGUAGGCGGCUUUUUAAGUCGGAUGUGAAAUCCCUGAGCUUAAACUUAGGAAUUGCAUUCGAUACUGGGAAGCUAGAGUAUGGGAGAGGAUGGUAGAAUUCCAGGUGUAGCGGUGAAAUGCGUAGAGAUCUGGAGGAAUACCGAUGGCGAAAGGCAGCCAUCUGGCCUAAUACUGACGCUGAGGUACGAAAGCAUGGGGAGCAAACAGGAUUAGAUACCCUGGUAGGAUAGCG
rnacentral:rRNA from 1 species